GGCAAGGAACACAUUCAUACUAUGAUUGAUCAGAGACCUAUUAUUAGAUCCCCACACGUGUACUUAAUGACAAUAGGAAGGCCUCAGGAGUUCAUAUUUGUUAACUACAUUUUUGUUAGCCUUAUCCGUAAAAGAAGUACGAGUAUCCUUGUUCGUACCAUAAGGUUCAUGAUUUGGUUUUCACAUAAAGAUAGAGGUUGAAUAUCCC
rnacentral:lncRNA from 1 species